ACCUACUUCAUUAUUAUACCAGCAAUCCAGCCUGAAGGACUUAGCUCAUAGAUGUCUUCUGAAAUGUGGAAGAAAUACUUUCGUUUGUCAUAAAACCUCAGCAGGAGAUUGGAGUCUGGAAGAGGGAGGGGAGAAGAGGAGGACCUCAGGGAGAUUGUUUUGCUUAUUGGUGUUUAAUUAAAAACCAAACAACUUUUCCUAUUAACUUGAUGCUACUUAUUAAUUGAAAUGAGGAGACUGACUCUGGAUAUUGGGAAAAUUUAUGGGCACAUACAGAGGAAAAGACAUGUGGGGACAUAAUGAGAGGACAGCCAUCUGCAAGCCAAGAAGAGAAUCCUCACCAGAAACCAACUUGACUGGAAUCUUGAUCUUGAACUUCUUGCUUCCAGAAUUAUGAGAAAAUAAAUUGUUGUUUAACCCACACAGUCUAUUGUACUUAGUUGUAGCAGUCUGAGAAGACUAAUACAUUGAUAAACUGGUCAGUUACAACAAUGAAUAUAUUAUUUAUACAUUAUAUAAAUGAUUAUAGUUUCUGUAUUAGCUUAGAUUUUGCAAAUUUGUCAAUAGCUUUGUCCAAGUUGAUUUUCUUUAUAUAUUCCUAUUUCAUAGACUAUAUUAGCUAGAUUUGUCAAUCUAUCUUACUCAUAAUGACUGAAGAACACUUUUAAAUUCAAUUUAAAAGGUUUUUGUCACAUAAAGCAACAAAUAUAAAACUAGAAAAAAUAUAAAUAUGAAUAUAAAUUUGAAGGAAAUUAAUAAAAAUCGUAUUGUACCAUAUAUUCCAGAAAUUUUAAACACUGAUGAAAACUUCAAGUGGUACCAAGGAAUGAGAGAAUUGAAGUAAUUCAAGUGUUAUAUUUCAUCUUUUCUAUCACUAGGUUGUCAUCAAUUAUUUCAAAUCUGUUUUUUUUUUUAUUGUAAUUAAACUUCUAAGUUCAGG
rnacentral:lncRNA from 1 species